AAGCUUUUCUUUAGCCAGAGGGUGGUGAACCUGUGGAAUUCAUAGCCACUGGCGGCUGUAGAGGCCAAGUCAAUGGAUAUUUUUAAGGCGGAGAUUGACAGAUUCUUGAUUAGUAAGGGGAUUAUGAGGAGAA